UUUAGCUUGGUUGCUUACGACACUGAUGAUUAUUUUGUUAUUAACUCAAAAACUAUAACACAACUCCAAGGCAGUGAUUGUGUUGUGAAAUAUAGAGGUGGUUUUUAUUCUGCAAAACUAAUUGCAUCUUAUGCAUCCCCUUUCGGACGGACAAUACGCAAGAGGUGGAGCAGUGCUGAAAUUGAUUCCGUUAAAGAAACAUUUGGAGAUAUUUUGGCCUUGGAGAAGUUGCCUUCCAUAAAGCAAUGUGCAGCAGCUAUAGAAAAAAAUAUCUGCCUAUGUAAAAGAACACCGGCUCAAUUAAAAACAUGGAUAGACAACCAGCGAAAAAAAGUUGCCGUUCGAGGAAAUUAAACAAUUUGAUUUCCCCACUUUCAACACACAGUCACCGCCACAACAUUCCACGGACCCAGUGUUUCUUACUUUUUUUAGUGAUAUAAGCUUUUCAUGCAUAUGAAAUACUCUUGCCCAUGUAUGGGAUAUGUUCACACACACGCACACACAAUUACAAUAAUUUUAUUUCAAAAUAUUUUUAUCAUGUUUUAUUAAUUCUAUGAAUGCUGUAAAAUUUUUAUUGACGAUUAAUUUAAAUUUA